GAUCAUGGCUCAGAACGAACGCUGGCGGCAGGCCUAACACAUGCAAGUCGAGCGCGCCCUUCGGGGUGAGCGGCGGACGGGUUAGUAACGCGUGGGAACGUACCCUUUGGUAGGGAAUAGCCACUGGAAACGGUGAGUAAUACCCUAUGAGCCCUUCGGGGGAAAGAUUUAUCGCCAAAGGAUCGGCCCGCGUUAGAUUAGGUAGUUGGUGGGGUAAUGGCCUACCAAGCCUACGAUCUAUAGCUGGUUUUAGAGGAUGAUCAGCAACACUGGGACUGAGACACGGCCCAGACUCCUACGGGAGGCAGCAGUGGGGAAUCUUGGACAAUGGGGGCAACCCUGAUCCAGCCAUGCCGCGUGAGUGAAGAAGGCCUUAGGGUCGUAAAGCUCUUUCGCCUGUGAAGAUAAUGACGGUAGCAGGUAAAGAAACCCCGGCUAACUCCGUGCCAGCCGCGGC
rnacentral:rRNA from 1 species